UACAGAGGUCUCAAGCGUUGUUCGGAUUCAUUGGGCGUAAAGGGUGCGUAGGCGGCGCGGUAAGUCGGGUGUGAAAUCUCGGGGCUUAACUCCGAAACUGCAUUCGAUACUGCCGUGCUUGAGGACUGGAGAGGAGACUGGAAUUUACGGUGUAGCGGUGAAAUGCGUAGAUAUCGUAAGGAAGACCAGUGGCGAAGGCGGGUCUCUGGACAGUUACUGACACUGAGGCACGAAGGCCAGGGGAGCAAACGGG
rnacentral:rRNA from 1 species